CAGCAGCCGCGGGAAUACGAAGGUCCCGAGCGUUGUUCGGAAUCGCUGGGCGUAAAGGGAGCGUAGGCGGCGUGGUAAGUCAGAUGUGAAAUCCCGGGGCUCAACCCCGGAACUGCGUCCGAUACUGCCGUGCUAGAGGAUUGGAGAGGUAGCUGGAAUUCUUGGUGUAGCAGUGAAAUGCGUGGAGAUCAGGAGGAACACUCGUGGCGAAAGCGAGCUACUGGACAAUAUCUGACGCUGAGGCUCGAAGGCCAGGGUAGCGAAAGGGAUUAGAUACCCCAGUAGUCCCUGUCUCUUAUAC
rnacentral:rRNA from 1 species